UGCAGUUGCUUAUAUUUAAGCUAAGCAGGGCUGAGCCUGGUCAGUACCUGGAUGGGAGACCUCCUGGGAAAACUAGGUUGCUGCUGGAA
rnacentral:rRNA from 1 species